AGUCGAGCGGCAGCGGGAAGUAGCUUGCUACUUUGCCGGCGAGCGGCGGACGGGUGAGUAAUGUCUGGGAAACUGCCUGAUGGAGGGGGAUAACUACUGGAAACGGUAGCUAAUACCGCAUAAUGUCGCAAGACCAAAGAGGGGGACCUUCGGGCCUCUUGCCAUCAGAUGUGCCCAGAUGGGAUUAGCUAGUAGGUGGGGUAAUGGCUCACCUAGGCGACGAUCCCUAGCUGGUCUGAGAGGAUGACCAGCCACACUGGAACUGAGACACGGUCCAGACUCCUACGGGAGGCAGCAGUGGGGAAUAUUGCACAAUGGGCGCAAGCCUGAUGCAGCCAUGCCGCGUGUAUGAAGAAGGCCUUCGGGUUGUAAAGUACUUUCAGCGGGGAGGAAGGUGUUGAGGUUAAUAACCUCAGCAAUUGACGUUACCCGCAGAAGAAGCACCGGCUAACUCCGUGCCAGCAGCCGCGGUAAUACGGAGGGUGCAAGCGUUAAUCGGAAUUACUGGGCGUAAAGCGCACGCAGGCGGUCUGUCAAGUCGGAUGUGAAAUCCCCGGGCUCAACCUGGGAACUGCAUUCGAAACUGGCAGGCUAGAGUCUUGUAGAGGGGGGUAGAAUUCCAGGUGUAGCGGUGAAAUGCGUAGAGAUCUGGAGGAAUACCGGUGGCGAAGGCGGCCCCCUGGACAAAGACUGACGCUCAUGUGCGAAAGCGUGGGGAGCAAACAAGAUUAGAUACCCUGGUAGUCCACGCCGUAAACGAUGUCGACUUGGAGGUUGUGCCCUUGAGGCGUGGCUUCCGGAG
rnacentral:rRNA from 1 species